AAUUUCAUAGUCUAGUGGUUAAGACGUCCGGCAUAAUAAACUGGAAGAUGCAGGUUCGAAUCCUCUUGGGACAG
rnacentral:tRNA from 1 species